rnacentral:rRNA from 1 species
AACGCGAAGAACCUUACCUGGGCUCGAAGCACAGUGGACCGGGGUAGAAAUAUCUCUCCCGCAAGGGCAAGUGUAGAGGUGCUGCAUGGCUGUCGUCAGCUCGUGCCGUGAGGUGUUGGGUUAAGUCCCGCAACGAGCGCAACCCUUACCCUUAGUUGCCACCCGCAAGGGGGAACUCUAAGGGGACUGCUCCGGAUAACGGAGAGGAAGGUGGGGAUGAGGUCAAGUCAGCAUGGCCUUUAUGUCCAGGGCUACACACGUGUUACAAUGCAUGGUACAAACCGUCGCAAACCCGUGAGGGGGAGCUAAUCGGAAAAAGCCGGCCUCAGUUCGGAUUGGAGUCUGCAACCCGACUCCAUGAAGCUGGAAUCGCUAGUAAUCGCGGAUCAGAACGCCGCGGUGAAUACGUUCCCGGGCCUUGUACACACCGAGACGUA